rnacentral:tRNA from 1 species
UGUGGUUUAGCUCAAACGGUAGAGCAAUUGACCUGUGUCAUUAGGUUGCCGGUUCGAAUCCGGCCACCACAA